rnacentral:rRNA from 1 species
CAGAGGGGGAUAACGUUUGGAAACGAACGCUAAUACCGCAUGAUAUUAUUGAGCUGCAUGGCUUGAUAAUCAAAGGAGCAAUCCGCUGAAAGAUGGGCUCGCGUCCGAUUAGGUAGUUGGCGGGGCAACGGCCCACCAAGCCGACGAUCGGUAGCCGGACUGAGAGGUUGAACGGCCACAUUGGGACUGAGACACGGCCCAGACUCCUACGGGAGGCAGCAGUGAGGGAUAUUGGUCAAUGGGGGAAACCCUGAGCCAGCAACGCCGCGUGAGGGAAGACGGUUUUCGGAUUGUAAACCUCUGUCCUCUGUGAAGAUAAUGACGGUAGCAGAGGAGGAAGCUCCGGCUAACUACGUGCCAGCAGCCGCGGUAAUACGUAGGGAGCAAGCGUUGUCCGGAUUUACUGGGUGUAAAGGGUGCGUAGGCGGCUUUGCAAGUCAGAAGUGAAAUCCAUGGGCUUAACCCAUGAACUGCUUUUGAAACUGCAGAGCUUGAGUGGAGUAGAGGUAGGCGGAAUUCCCGGUGUAGCGGUGAAAUGCGUAGAGAUCGGGAGGAACACCAGUGGCGAAGGCGGCCUGCUGGGCUCUAACUGACGCUGAGGCACGAAAGCGUGGGUAGCAAACAGGAUUAGAUACCCUGGUAGUCCACGCUGUAAACGAUGAUUACUAGGUGUGGGUGGACUGACCCCAUCCGUGCCGGAGU